GUUUAGGACCCCUGGGUGGUAGCGCAAAUCCCGGACGAGCCCCCACAUGAAAGACCCCCCACGAAGGGAGACCCUCACUCAAAUCUUGGGAAGGCGCACACCCAGUGAGACGCUGAGACCG
rnacentral:pre_miRNA from 7 species